UGGGGAAUUUUGCACAAUGGGCGCAAGCCUGAUGCAGCGACGCCGCGUGAGGGAUGAAGGCCUUCGGGUUGUAAACCUUUUUCGCUCAUGGUCAAGCCGCAGCUUUGGGUUGUGGUGAGGGUAGUGGGUAAAGAAGCGCCGGCUAACUACGUGCCAGCAGCCGCGGUAAUACGUAGGGCGCGAGCGUUGUCCGGAAUUAUUGGGCGUAAAGGGCUUGUAGGCGGUUGGCCGCGUCUGCCGUGAAAUCCUCUGGCUUAACUGGGGGCGUGCGGUGGGUACGGGUUGACUUGAGUGCGGUAGGGGGGACUGGAAUUCCUGGUGUAGCGGUGGAAUGCGCAGAUAUCAGGAGGAACACCGGUGGCGAAGGCGGGUCUCUGGGCCGUUACUGACGCUGAGGAGCGAAAGCGUGGGGAGCGAACAGG
rnacentral:rRNA from 3 species